UACGAAGGGGGCUAGCGUUGCUCGGAAUCACUGGGCGUAAAGCGCACGUAGGCGGAUUGUUAAGUCGGGGGUGAAAUCCUGGAGCUCAACUCCAGAACUGCCUUCGAUACUGGCGAUCUUGAGUCCGGGAGAGGUGAGUGGAACUCCGAGUGUAGAGGUGAAAUUCGUAGAAAUUCGGAAGAACACCAGUGGCGAAGGCGGCUCACUGGCCCGGUACUGACGCUGAGGUGCGAAAGCGUGGGGAGCGAACAGG
rnacentral:rRNA from 1 species